rnacentral:tRNA from 1 species
GUUGUGGCUCAGUGGUAGAGCGCUUGUUGAGCAUGCAUGAGGCACUGGUUCAAUCCUGACACCACA